CCAUCAAAGGAUGAAGAGCAGAACACUCCGGCCUGAGAGAGCAGCAGUAGCAUGUCUUCACGGCCAGAUAAGAAAAGGAACAAAGGCAUUGUUGGUCAAGCCAGAGUAGGGUCAAACAGGUACCUGCUCAGUGUCUGCCCUUGCGCAGUGGGAACCAGAGAAGAGUGCAAAUAACCUGAGGGUACCAGAAAGCGAAGGAAAAGAAGAGGAGCAACAUGGCCAAGUCCAGUGCAAGAAACUGCCUUCGGGGAUUUCCCACACCGCUUUCUUUCCUCCCAUAGAUGGCACUGGGUCCUAUGAAAUCUUUUACAUCAUCUGACGAGCAGGAAUUCUCACAACCAAGACAGAAGACAGAUGGGUGAUGUUUUGCCAUAAACCUCCAUCUUAGGUACUGAGCACUAUACUCAGCCAGUGCGAGAAAACUUUUUUCAACUUUCUUGGAGAUUUUAGGAAUAAU
ensembl:lncRNA